GCCUUAUCUAAUGAAGUACUGUGCAAAUCAAGUUCGCGUGGAAUAGUGCCAAGAAUAUUGGCUGCAUUACCGCGCUGGACAUCCAGGCUGAUCCGUUGC